GGCCUCAUCGUCUAAUGGUUAGGACAGUGGCUUUUCAAGCCAUUAAUCGGGGUUCAAUUCCCCGUGAGGCUA
rnacentral:tRNA from 1 species